rnacentral:siRNA from 1 species
AAACGCAGUGGGUGCGGUUGC